ACUGAGGGUUCUAGAGGGGAGGGGGGUGGAGGAAUGGGUUAGCCCGGUGAUGGGUAUUAAAGAGGGCAUGUGUUGAAUGAAGCACUGGGUGUUAUAUGCAAACAAUGAAUCAUGGAACACUACAUCAAAAACUAAUGAUGUAAUGUAUGGUGAUUAACAUAACAUAAUAAAAUAAAAUUUAAAAAAAUUUAAACUACAAACAAAAAGAUGAGGUGAAGGGUGUAUAGAUUUAUUAAUUCAUGAGCAUGUUUUCUGUAAAAGUCAUUACUUGAUAAUUUUAGUCAGGCUUUGUUUCGGGUAGUUUUGUUUUCCUACACGUGAUCAUUAGCAUCUUUUCCCCCCACUCUGUCCCUGGAAUAUCUAGCAGUGAACACAUGACUCUGGUUUUCUUUAUUAGUAACCCUGUGGACCAUGGACAUCUCACUUACACUAUUUUUAAUGGGAUUUGAAGCAUGAGUCUUCCUCCACCACCAAUUAACGACAUUGUAUUGGGAUGUUGGAAAAUAUAUCUUAAAUACUGUAAGUUCUUUGAAAACCAUGUGUGGUAGUGUAUGGAAGGAUCAACUUUUUUAGGUAUCUGGUACAUAGUAACUGCAUGAUGAAUAAAGAAAUAAGUUGUGUUGAAUUGUGGAAAAAAAUCUCUUUUUUCAUACCUUGUGUUCUGUAGAUUGAAUCAGUUUGAGUUUGUCUUUGCUAAUGGUUAGAUUCAGGUUCUGCAUAUUUGGCAAUAAUACCACAUAAAUCUCACUUAAGCUCUUACGCAGGAAUUCUGGAAGGUAGACCAGGUGAGGUGAGACUCCAUAAGACGACAUAGAAACUAGACAUUCCCACUACAUUGAAGCAGGUAUUUGGGAAGAGAUCCACUUGAUAUUAAUAGAAGAAAGAUUUCCUAUCGAAGAAGUAGUUGGGGUAGAUGGAGUAAGUGGAUCAUGUUCCAUCAGGGAGACUGUGUGUGACCUGGAUCAGUAAGCAUUUAGAGAUGUCUUCUGAACUAGAUCUGUGCCAUAUAUGUGGUCUGGUAGCCUCUUGUGGGAGACCCACCUAAUGGCCUGGAAUUCAAGGAUAGCACUUCAGUCCCUGGGAUAGACUGAUAAUUGUAGGACAGGUCUAUAGCUCUAGAGGUGCUGAUUUAUUGGCUGGGUUACUAAGGUAUUAGUAAUGGUCUCUGAAUUAAGGCAAGGACUCAGUUCUUAAGAUGGCACAGUGUCAGAACUGAAACAGCUAAGCAAGUUUGAUGUGGAACAUCGUCCAUUUCUUUCAUUUGAGAGCACCUUGGAUCCUUGUUUAGGAAUGGAAAUACACUUACAGGUGGCCUCACCUAUGUGGCAGAAAUGUGUAGGGAAGGGAGCCUGUCAGGUCACAAGUAAUUAAAGGUUUAUAUAUAUAUUAUUACCCUUUAAAAUAACUGUCAGAAUUCUUAAUUUUUAAAUUCCCCCUACACCUUUGCCCCCCCUUGCCAAAUUCCAAACAAACAUAUGAUUUGAGUGGGAUAAGUGUAGUUAUAUGUCUGAGACACGGAUUAUUCUCAGGACUGCAAAAUUGUAUCCUUUGUGUAUAACCUAAAGAUCAUAUGUAUCCUGUUGCAUUAUUAUAUUCUCUCUUCUUACUCCUUUUAUUAGGGUCAGUCUUUCUGAACAUCUUUACUCUUUAUUACUGUCUAGAUUUGGGACAUGGAAAAUCACUCUUGGGAUAAUAGGGAUAAAAUAGAUAGACCUUAGAUAAGAUCAAAUGGAUUUUUAUGUUUUUACCUUUUCCCCCCUUUAUGACCCAUGCUAAAGGUUCCCAGGUGUGAGAUUUCUGGUUUAUUUCCCCUUUAUUCAUGGAGUUUAGUUCAUACUAUCUAUAUACUAUGUAUGUAUAAUAAUGUAUGUGUGUGUGACACACACAAACUUUUCUACGCAUAUGCAGGCUUACUUGUCAUAGUGUUACUUGUAAUUGUAAAAGAUCCAGAAUAAAAUAAAUGUCAAUCAGCGGGUUAAUGUCUAAAAAAAAUUAAUGUACAUCUGUGCAAUGCAACACUGCAGCUUUCAGAAAAGAAUGAAGGUAUUCUCUAGAACAUACUAUAGAUUGACUAAAAUAUGUGAAAAUAGAAUGGUGCAGAAUUGUGCGUAAGUAACAUAAAAUAUAAUAGAUAUGUGGAAAUACACAUAUGCAUUUAGGUUUUUUCCAAUUUUUUUUUAUUCUGGUGAAAUACACCUAAGAUUUGCCAACUUAACCAUUUUUAUGUGUAUAGUUCAGUUGUAUUAAAUACAUUCAUAAUAUUGUGCAGUCAUCACCAUCUCCCGAACUUUAUUCAUCUUUUAAAAGUGUAAUUCUAAUAAAAUAAAUAAGACAUGGGUAUGCAAUGUUGGGCAUAGAAAAUAUAGUUAGUAAUACUGUAAGAACUUUGUACAGUGACAGAUGAUAGCUGGAUUUAUUGUGGUAAUCACUUUGUGAAAUACAUAAAUAUUGACUCAUGUUGUACACCUGAAACUAUUAUAAAUUACUGUACUUCAGUAAAAACAAAAACUCUCUAUUUCUGUUUUCCCUAGCCUCUGGCAAACACUUUCUGUCUCUGUUUUUGACUAUGUACCUUAUUUAAGUGGAGUCAUAUAGUAUUUAUCUUUUGUGACUGGCUUCUUUCACUUAGCAUAAUGUCUUCAAGGUUCAUCCAUAUUGUAAAUUAUGUCAGAAUUUCCUUCCUUUUUAAGGCUCAGUAAUAUUCCACUGUGUGUAUAUACCACAUUUGCUUAUCCAUUCAUUCAUCAAUGGAUACUUGGGUUGCUUCCAAGUUUGAGCUAUUACGAAUAAUGUUGGUGUUUUGAUGGGUGUACAAAUAACUUUUUGAGACCCUGCUUUCAGUUCUUUUGGGUAUAUAUGUAUGUAUAAUUGGUUGAUCAUAUGGUAAUUCUUUUUUUAAUUUUUUGAGGAACUGACAUACUGUUUCCCAUAAGGCCUAUACCAUUUUACAUUCCCAUCAACAGUGCAUAAGAGUUCUAAUUUCUCCACAUCCUCUCCAAGAAUUGUUUUCUCUUUUUAGAUAGUAGCCAUCUUAAUAGGUGUGGGGUUCCAUCUCAUUGUAGUUUUGAUGUGCAUUUCCCUAAUGAUGAGUAACAUUGAGCAUCUCUUCUUGUGCUUAAUGGCCAUUUGCAUAUCUUCUUUGGAGAAAUGUGUAUUCAAAUUAUUUGCCAAUUUUCAAAUCAGGUUCUUUGUUUUGUUGAGUUUUAGUAGUUCUUUAUAUAUUUUGGAUAUUAAUCCCUUAUCAGAUAUAUGAUUUGUAAAUAUUUUCUCCCAUUCUUCCAACCUUUGCUCUUUACCCACUGAGUGGUUUGGGCACCCUUGCCAAAAUCAUUAAACCAUAUAUGUGAGGGUUUGUUUCUGGGCUCUUUAUUAUAUUCCACUGGUCUGUAUGUUUGCUUUCAUGCCAGCACCAUGCUGUUUUCAUAGUGUAGCUUUGUAAUAAGUUUUGAAGUCAAGAAGUGUGAGUCUUCCAGUGUUUUUUUUUUUUUUUUUUCCGAGAUUGUUCUGGUCAUUUGAGAUGCUUUUGAGAUUCCCUUUGAAUUAUAGAAUGGGUUUUUCUAUUUCUGCAAAACAGAUCAUUGGGAUUUUGAUAGAGAUUGCAUUUAAUCUGUAGGUUGCUUUGGGGAGUAUUGACAUCUUAACAGUAUUGACUCUUCCAAUCCAUGAACGUCCAUUUAUUUAUUUAUUCUUUAAUUUCAUACACAUUUCUUUGUUUAUAUGACAUAUAAGGAAUGAGUAAUAGUGUUUGUCUCUUAGGAAAGUAGAUUGUGGAUUGAGGGCAGGGGUGUGCAAGUUUUCAUUGUAUAACUUUAAUCACCUUUUGACUUUUAGGCCAUGUGAGUAUGUAUUACUUAUUUAAUAAAGAAAAGUAACAUUUUGGCACCUUUCUUCAGAUACACACAUACGCAUGCAUACACACACACACACACACUUGUGUGCAUGCACAAUACCUAGAAAAUACCUGUUCCUCCAAAGAGUGAGCACAGAAACAAGACUUACUAGGAGGAGCCAAAAUCAAGAGUCCAGCUAUAAAGAAUGAAUGCAUGAAAUGAUGAUGUUUUUAAGCGACUUUAAAUUUAUCAGUCUGUAAAGAGAGAUCUGGUGUGGUAGAUGACUGAACAGGUAGUAAAUGAUCGCCUUACUUUCCAUGCUUAGGAAUUUGGAUUUUAUUUUAUUUUAUUUUAUUUUUUUAAAGAUUUUAUUUAUUUAUCUGAAAGAGAGAAUGGGAUACAGAGAGCAUGAGAGGGGAAGGGUCAGAGGGAGAAGCAGACCCCCCACUGAGCAGGGAGCCCGAUGUGGGACUCGAUCCCGGGACUCCAGGAUCAUGACCUGAGCCGAAGGCAGUUGCUUAACCAACUGAGCCACCCAGGUACCCCAGGAAUUUGGAUUUUAAAUUGAUGGUUACUGAGGGUCACUAAAGAUCAGAGAUUAAACAAGGAAGUAAUGGGAUUAUGUUUAUAUUAUAAGAAUUACUGUGGUUAUAGUAUUGGAAUAGUGUGGGAUCGUUUAGUAGAAAUAGGAUGUGAGCCACAUCGGCAGCUUAAUAUUUUCUACUAAAUUACAAAAAAUGGGUAAUGAAAUUAAUUUUUAUAUAUCUAAUGUUAUUUCAUCAUGUAAUCACUAUAGCAUUAUAAGUGAGAUAUUUAAUGUGCUAUUUUUCAUUGUAAAUCUUCACAUCUUCACAAUCUUGUGGAUAUUUUAUGCUUACUGAACAUUUCGUGUUUGACUAGCCAUAUUUUAUAUGCUCAGUUAGCUACAUGAGAGUAGUGCUGCCAUGUUAGAUAGUGCAAGUAUAGAGAAUCAGUCAGUGUAUAGUCAGGAGACAAUAUGUAUUCUAGUAAUUGGAACAGAAAAAUUUUUUUUUUUUUAAAGAUUUUAUUUAUUUAUUUGAGAGAGAGAGAAUGAGAGACAGAGAGCAUGAGAGGGAAGAGGGCAGAGGGAGAAGCAGACUCCCCGCUGAGCAGGGAGCCCAAUGCGGGACUCGAUCCCGGGACUCCAGGAUCAUGACCUGAGCCGAAGGCAGUCGCUUAACCAACUGAGCCACCCAGGUGCCCCGGAACAGAAAAAUUUAAUGUGAAGAAUUAUUAAUUAUUUAAAAGUCCUUAAUCAUUUGUCAUCCAGGAAUCACAAAUUAAGACAACAAUAAGAUAACAACUCUAUACCUAUUAGAAUGGCUGAAAUCCAAAAACGUGAGAAGGUUACAAAGCUGUCAAGCUUACAAAGCAUCAGGGCUCUUAUUCAUCACUGGUGGGAAUGCAAAAUGUUAUAUCUACUUUGGAAGACAGUUCGGCAGUUUUUUUUACAAAGCUAAACAUAGUUUUAUCAUAUGAUUCAAUAAUCAUCCUCCUAGAUGUUUACAUAACUCAUUUGGAAAUUAUGUCUGCACAAAAUGCUGCAUGUGAAUGUGUAUAGCAGCUUUAUUCCUAACUGCCAAGAAAUGGUGACCAAGAUGUCCAUCAUUAGAGUCUAGAAGCAAGGACACUCCAUAUCAAGGAGCAAAACCUAGUGCCCAGAUCUUCAUCUCUAAUAUCAUUCUCCAAUAAAAGGAACCAGAGCUCCUUGGAGUAU